GGGGCUUUGCCCACACUGCAGAAAUCUACAAAACAAUUCCCUCCGGCUGCACUGGGGAGCCUGGGUGGGGUUCCCGUUGCAAACCAGGCUGCAGCACCUGGCGGCGGAGAGGUUUUUGCAGGCCCGAUUAGAGCGCCGCCAACAACGGGGCGGGGGGCAGGAGCCUGGGCGAGAUGGGCUUGGCCGGACUCUGCGGCGCCUGCGAGAGGAGCCAGCGGGGAGCCGAGGGAGGCGAUUCCCCCGGGAGAGAGGGGCCCAGCCGGGGCCCAAGGCGGAGCCGCAGGGCGGAAGAAGGCUCAAGAGUCGCCCCUGCUCUGGUGCCCCCGCCCGCGUCUCCUAGCAACCACUUGGCAACAGAAUAGCCGGGCUGGGGCAGUGCAGCUGCCGCCUUCGGAGCGUCCCUCGUUGCCUCUGCGUGGCACCAUGCGGCAGACUCCAGAGGACAGCAGGCACUGCAGGAAGAAGGCGCCCCCGCACCAGCUGUAAGUGCUGCCUUUGCUGUGGGCUCUCUGGAUGUGCAAGGCCCAAGUUCUAAUCCUUGCAACCUCAGGGGGCCAGCCCUGAGGGACAGUCCCUGCAGAAACUUGGCCCUGAGUGGGUGCUGGAGGGGGUAGCACCUGGUCCUGUGCUAUUGGGUGUUGUCCUGCCAUGGGCUCAGGGCCCUGGGGACUGAGCCCUUGAUGACCUUCUGUCCCCAGGGCCUGAUGCUGCCAGCCUUUGCUCACCUGAGUAGCCACCAUUCCUGCAGUCUUCUGAUUGGGAGCCAAGUAUUCCUCAAAUAAGUAAAUACUUGUAGGAAUGGGAUCCAAGCUGAACUGCUUGAUCUUUCUAUCUCACUGCACCCUGUGCUAUGUGCCUACGAUCAUGUGUGUGCCUUGGGAGGCUGUAGACACAUAAUGCCACACUGGAUCAGACCAAGGGUCCAUCUAGCCCAGUAUCCUUCAGAGGAAAUGAAGAGAUCAUGAUCCAUCCUAUGUCAUCCAGUCCCAGCUUCUGGCAGUCAGGUUUAGAGACAUGCAUAGCAAAGGGCUGUGUCCCUGACCAUCUUGGUUAAUAGCUGUUGAUAGAUCUGUCCUUCAUGAACUUACCCAGUUCUUUUUUGAACCUAGUUAUACUUUUGGCCUUCACAACAACCCCUGGUGAUGAAUUUCACUGGUUAAUUAUGUGUGCGUGUGAAGAACUAGUUUGUUUUAAACCUGUUGCCUAUUAACUUCAUUAGGUGACCCCUGGUUCUUGUGUUAUGUGAAAGGGUAAACAACACUUCCCUAUUCACUUUCUCCACACCAUUCAUGAUUUUAUAGCUCUUUAUCAUAUCUCUCCUUAGUCAUUUCUUUUCCAAGCAAACAGUCCCAGUCUUUUUAAUCUCUCCUUAUAUGGAAGCUGUUCCAUAACCCUAAUCAUUUUUGUUGCCCCUCUCUGUACGUUUUCCAAUUCUAAUACAUCCUUUUUAAGAUGGUGCAACCAGAACUGCACAGAAUGUUCAAGG
rnacentral:lncRNA from 1 species